AUUGAACGCUGGCGGCAGGCCUAACACAUGCAAGUCGAACGAGUGGCGGACGGGUGAGUAAUGUCUGGGAAACUGCCUGAUGGAGGGGGAUAACUACUGGAAACGGUAGCUAAUACCGCAUACCAGCGGCUGUGCCCAGAUGGGAGUAGCUAGUAGGUGGGGUAAAGGCUCACCGAGGCGACGAUCCAUAGCUGGUCUGAGAGGAUGACCAGCCACACUGGAACUGAGACACGGUCCAGACUCCUACGGGAGGCAGCAGUGGGGAAUCUUGCACAAUGGGCGCAAGCCUGAUGCAGCCAUGCCGCGUGUAUGAAGAAGGCCUUCGGAUUGUAAAGUACUUUCAGCGGGGAGGCGUUACCCGAAGAAGAAGCACCGGCUAACUCCGUGCCAGCAGCCGCGGUAAUUC
rnacentral:rRNA from 1 species